CGGAAGUCCACCACCUGUUUUUGACACACAACUUAGUGCACCAAUUUCACAUAACCAGGCUCAUAAACGACGCCGCACCUACGCACAAACUCAAACCCCGCCGCGGGUUACAUCUCUCCCCACACCCACCAAACUGCAGCGGCGCUGCUUAAUAAUUUCAUAACUUCAAAAUUAUGACAGCAUUGGUAACAAACAAAAACUCCAGAGGCAUCUACAUAAAAUUCCCCACAAGUUUUGUAUACAAUUUAUAAUUAAAUUCCAACAUCUAAUUAGCCCAAAACAGUUCACAAGAUGCACCCUGUAAUCUGUUUUUUUCUCUUUUGGACAGCGACAUACCCGGAUUCAAACAGCGAUAUCUUUUAAAAUAUAAUUCCAAUUCAAGCGCAUAAGUACUCAUUGGAAAGAUAAGACAAAGCCAUACAUGAUUAUCAUACUGGUUAGCACUAAUUAACCACGAAAAAUUCCCAGAAAUUGCUAAUACUGCUGCUGUUCACCCACCUGAAAAAUCUGUUUUUUUUACAGCAACAUACCCGGAUUCAAACAGCGAUAUCUUUUAAAAUAUAAUUCCAAAUCAAGCACAUAAGUACUCAUUGGAAAGAUAAGACAAAGCCCUACAUGAUUAUCAUACUGGUUAGCACUAAUUAACCACGAAAAAUUCCCAGAAACUGCUAAUACUACUGCUGUUCAUCCACCUGAAAAAUCUGUUUUUUUGGACAGCAACAUACCCGGAUUCAAACAACGAUAUCUCCUAAAUUAUAACUCCGAAUCGAGCGCAUAAGUACUCGUUGGAAAGGUAUGACAAAGCUCUACAUGAUUAUCCCACUGAUUCCCACUAAUUACCCCACGAAAAUUCCCAGAAAUCCCUAGAACUACUGCUGUUCACCCACUCACAAAAUUCCUGGACAGCACCUCUACCGAUUCGCAAAGAUAAACACAUAAUCCAAUUGAUUGCAGCACAAAAACAACAAAAGUUAAUCACAAAUUCACCUUAGGUUCUUCCCUUCCUCCUUCCUUCUUCCUCCCUCCAAACUCCAAUUGAGAUCGCAGCCACACGACGGAGAACCACACGGGAGGGCUGCACCUUGGAGGAGGGGGAGAAAUGGGGGGGCGGCUAGGGUUUUGGGUGGUGAGGGCUGCAAAGAUUUGAGGAGGAAGAAGAUGGGAGAGGGGGG
rnacentral:lncRNA from 1 species